rnacentral:lncRNA from 1 species
GGGGUCAGUGCCUGAGGUAUUCUGAGGAGCGAAAGAUCCCUGAGUGAAAUUAUCAUAGAAUCACAGAAUUAUUAAGGUUGGAAAAGACUUUCAAGAGCAUCUGGUCCAACCAUCCCCCUACCGCCAAUGUCACCCACUAACCGUGUCCCCAAGCACCAUGUCCAACCUUUCCUUAAACACCCCCAGGGACAGUGACCACCACCUCCCUGGGCAACCCGUCCCAAUGCCUGACUGCUCUUUCUGAGAAGAAAUGUCUCCUCAUUUCCAACCUGAACCUCCCCUGGCACAACCCGAGGCCGUUUUAUGAUUGACACUUUUCUGGACACUCAGCUAUCCAGAAUGCCAGCAUCCCAGGUACAUUCUGUGGUCCUGCUCCUGACACGGCUCUUUUGCCAUAGGGGAAGCCCAUGAGGAAGGCUGCCUUUCUGAAGACUGGAUCCAUUGAACUCAAGGGAAGUAAUCCCAGCUGACUUGGACGACUCUAAACCAGGUGACAGCAUGCUCACUGGACUAGUCAAAGGUACCUGCUCGCACCCUCUCCAGUUUACCUUGAGAUGCUGUUGCAGUUUAUUCAGUGUUUUGACGAGCUCACUGUUAUUCCUGUUGGCACGAUCCACUUGGAUUUCCAUUUUGUUCUGGUCAGUUUCCAUCUCCUUGAGCCUAAGUGCUUCAGCAUGCCCUGUCACUUCAGUCUCCAGACUCACCUGCAGAGACGGGAUUGCAUGCUGGUGAUUUUCUGCGGAGUCCAGUGAAGCAUAUGGUGCAACAUUCUGUUAUGUUGAGUCUAAUCCAGCCUUAGUAUCACGUUAUUGCCCACCGACUAACAAAAACACAGGAGCUUUCCAAACCUGUUCAUAACUGUGGUACCAGAAUUUUGAACCAAGCCAUUUAUGAACGCAUUUUAAAUAGAAGAUCGUGACAGCUUUCAAAUGGCAGCUUUAACCUGAAGCAGUUCAAGCUGAAUGCAAAUCAGUUUACUUUAUUCAGCCUGUAAGGAAAUAUGCUACAGAAGGAUGAAUAAAUACCCUUUGUAGGGUUAUACA